rnacentral:lncRNA from 1 species
AUGCUUGUUUUGCCAGGGUCCGGAGCGACCUCUGCGCCACCCUACCAGCCUCAGACCGGCGCCACCCCGCCGCCUCACCAGCCUGUGGUGGGGCCCGCUCAAGCCCAGACCAACAACAGCAACAACACGGGCACCUUAACACAGCAGCUGCACUGGCUGGCAGAUGACUGGGCCAGGGAGCCGCCGAUGCCGCCGAUGCCGCCGAUGCCAACACCCAGCUCUGAAACCCCGCCGGCGAGUCCCCAGCGACAGAUCUCGCCCAGCAUGCCUGCACACUGGCAGGAGGGCAGAGCCAGGGCCACGGCCCGGGUUAGAGCCAGGAGGGCAAUGACCCUAGAGGUGGCUUCCACACCAGCAGGGGGUGCUGCUGCUGCUCAGCAGCUGCUUCUCUCCUGGCCCAUGAUUGACAGCUGUCCCUCAGGUGCUGGUCUGGAUCCUGCUACUUUGCUUCAUGAAGCGUCAAGCGUCAUUCCACCCGCAGCGUUUGGAGGACUACUGAGCUCACCCGUCUACGUGACCCAGUGGGCUGGGGUGUCCUCGCCCUCCAGUCCACGGGUGUUUGUCUUCCCCGAUGCCUCCUCACCCCCAUGGACCGCCCCCACCUCACCUCAGCACCCCCCCCAAUCCUAGAACCAGUACUCUCUAGAUUCAAACCAUGUUCAAAUUCAAGGUGGUGUUUUUAGUCUGUACAGUGUAGCCAGAAAAUCCCUACACUAUGCGGUACAAGAGCCCUCUUGUUUAUUUCACGAUCUGGAACAUCAUAUAACCCAAAGUGUGUUAUUUAACCUAUUGGAGAAUGUAAAUAUUGGGAUUCAUGUAGACAUGCUCUUCCAUCAUGUUCUGUACAUAUGCUAUGGGCAUUAUCCUGGUGGCUGUAUAUAAUCGUUUUGAUUUGUUGGUUUGAAAGACACCAUGUGUGUAUAUAAUUUAUCAUAGUCAAGACGCAUUUGUACCUAGCUGAGUGUAUGUGUGUGUGCUUGAAGUCUACCACCCAGCCAAGUACUGUAGCUAUGUAUAUAUACUUACAAAUUUCUGUACAAAGGACCACUGCUCCAAGUAUGUACACAAUGCAGUAGACAUGAUGGCCACUGUAUGUAUGGAAGCCAUCGCUGUGUGUACAUAAGGCGUAUAUAGACAUAUGGAUAUAUCUGGAUAUAUCUGUUAGUGUAGAAUGGGGGUGUAGAAUUGACUGUUGCCACUCCAUACAGUACAAUGGGUAGGAGAGGAGGAGGACAGCUAUUAGAAACAUCACAUCACUGUGAAUCCCUUCCCAUCCAGGUCACCUGUGCCAAUCGCUUCCGCCUGCAAGCCUUCGUCCUCCUGCACCCAGGCCCUUCGCUGUAAACUUCACUGCUUUAAAAUAGAACUUUAACCGGAACUUGAACGCCAGCUGUGUACUUGAGAUGAAAUGCUCCCCCCCCCAGUGGGUGUGCCUUGAACUGCAGUUUUCUCGAAUCACUCUGGAAGGAUGCACACUAAGCACUUGAGUUUGUUGCAGCAUGAGUGGCCUUUUGGAGCAGGUUUGCAUACGAGAUGAAUGUGUUCGGUGUAGAGAGCACCUCUGGAAUUUGCUGUUUGUUUGUUUUGUUUCCUUUAAAAUUGCAGUAUGAUACGAGAAAAAAAGGAAUAUAUUCUGAUGUUCUGUUAAAUGGAAAUGGAACGGGACAUGCCAUUGACUGGUGUUAGUACAGCAGGUCUAUGCCAUUUGUGGGGGUCGGAGUCAAAACUAAUCGAGGGCUUAGGUUUACAGCUUAAUCUUAAUUUUCUCAAAGUCUUUUGUUUGGACACACUUUCCUUGAUGUACUUUUAAUCUACUUACUAUUCAUAUUUAAAAGAUAUGUCCAUGUACAAAAGAAGCUUAGGCAAUAUGUGUGAUUACCAAUUAAGAAAAGGAAGCUUUAUACAUUUUUGAGGUACCAGAUAUUGUAGUCAUAAUUUAUAACUGUAUACGAAUCACACUGACAACAUUUCCUGUAAAAAAAACAACAUGUGGAACCUACAUGUAAGGUUUGUCACAUUGUCACAGAAAGAAAUGUAAUUUGUCCCUUAUUUUAGUAAGGUGUAAGUACAAAUGGAAUGUGGGUUGUUCCAGAUAAAGAUUACAGCUAGAGUGAAAAAUAGCCUAACCAUAUUUUCAACUGACAAUCCUUCAUGGGAACAGUUAAGAAACCCUGGAUUUGGCAUUACACAGUAAUCCUAUUCCAGGAAAUCUACAUUUAAAAUCAGUUAGCUGUGAGUUGAGUACAAAGUUUUUCUGGGCCGUGGUAGAUGACCACCGGUGACUGCAUUUGAGGGUGUAGUAUACAGUAUAUGCAAUGAUCUUUUUGGAGGGAGUCACUUGCUCACUUCCGAGGCGCUGUGAUGUGAGUUGAAGAAAAGGAGGCAGAUUAUCUAGCUGUGCAGCUUUUCCGAUGUUACUUUUCAUUUGAUCCGCCCCCUCCGAACACCAUUUUAGCAAGGAAUGCACAACUUCAUCCCUGGACAUGUUUAUGUCACAUGUGCAUAUUUUAAGUGACCAACAAUUGGAAAAUAAAUAAAAUUUGGCUUGAGCA